UUAUUUCAAAAAUGUGGUGGAAAAGAGAAGAAAUUUGUGUAGAUUUUAUUCAAUUACAUGAAUAAAAGUAUUACGUUGCUAUGUCAUCACGAAUUACGCAAUGGAGAAAAAUUAAUAAAUCAGUAAUUGAUUUAUUUAAUGAGACAGAUAGUACAAUAGAAACAGAUAAACAACAAAUAAAUGUUUCAGAUUAUAGAGUUCUUUCCGAAGAAUCAAUUGAGCAAGAAGUUGAAGGUGUUGAGGAAACAGAUUUCGACUCAGAUUCCAAUCUUGACUCCGCCAGAGUCUCCGAUAGUUCUGAUUCUAAUUCUUGUUUCUUGAAUCAUGGAAACUUUAUAGAUGACAAAAUAAUAAAUGGAAAUCUACGUGAAGAAUUAGCAGAAUGGUUUGUUGUAAACCAAACUUCACAUUCUGCAACAAAUCAACUUCUUUUUAUUUUGAGAAAAAAUGGCCACACAGAGCUUCCAAAAGAUGUAAGAACAUUAUUGAAAACUCCAAGUAACAUUCCUCUGAAGAAUAAGUGUGGUGGCGAUUACAUUUAUUAUGGUUUGGAAACUAAUAUUUUAAAACUUUUAAGCAAAUUUCCAAAUCUUGCGAAAAUUGAAUUAGUUGUCAAUGUUGAUGGAAUACCAUUAUUUAAAAGCACAUCAGUAGCUUUAUGGCCCAUACUUUGCUCAUUUUCAAGUAUCCAACCAUUUGCUGUAGCUAUUUUCUGUGGUAAGAGCAAACCUUCAUCUGAAGAAAGCUUUAUGUUUGAUUUUGUAAAUGAGUUAACAAAUUUAUUACAAAAUGGAAUCAAAACUCAAUAUAAACAUUACUUAGUUUCCCUUAAAUCAUUUUGUUGUGAUGCUCCAGCUCGACAAUUUUUGAAGUCUAUAAUUAGCCAUAAUGGAUACGAUUCAUGUGAGCGAUGUAUUAUUGACGGUGCACGUUUUAAUCACAGACAAAUUUUUUUGGGGUCAGGAUAUACUCUGAAAAAUGAUACAGAAUUUAACCUACACGGUUACAAAGAACACCAAAAAACUUUAUGUACUCUAGCUAAAUAUAAUAUACCAUGUGUUACAUCAUUUGUUUUAGAUAUCAUGCAUUUGGUUUAUUUAGGAGUAACUAAAAGAAUAAUAAUUUUUUUCAACGAAGGUAAAAGAUCAUGCAGGGUAUCAGAGAUUCAAAAAGCAGUUAUUUCUGAAAAACUUAGAGAAUUAUCAGGAAAAUUGCCCAGCGAGUUUGCAAGACAAUCAAGAGGUAUUGAUGAGUUUAAACGCUGGAAAGCUACAGAGUUCAAAAAUUUUCUUUUAUAUACCGGUAUGAUUGUUUUAAAAAAUGUAGUUUCUCAAGAAAUAUAUACACAUUUCUUAAGCUUAUCAGUUGCUAUGAGUAUAAUGAUUGAUAAUGAUCUUUUGAAUGAUCAUAAGUUGUUAAUGUAUGCAAAAGGGCUCUUGGAAUGGUUUGUAUAUCGGUCAUCAUUUCUUUAUGGACAAGAAUUUGUUACUUAUAAUGUUCAUAGUUUGACACAUCUGUAUGAAGAUGUGGUCAACCACAGCUGCAGUUUACAAGAUAUAUCUGCUUUUCCUUUUGAAAACUAUCUAGGCAUUCUAAAAUCUUAUGUGCGCAAGGCACAAAGUCCCUUGUCACAAUUGAGAAAAAGAAUAGAGGAGAUAGAGAAAUGUUGUGUAACAAGAAGCAAACAACAAUCAAAAACUAAGAUUUCAAUUGGAAAUAAAAAUAGAUGGUUUUUCAUUAGUGGAGAAAAAGUAGUGCGUGUAAAUAAUAUCAUUGGUAAUGAUUUAGAAUGCUGUCUAUCAAAUAUCUGAUUUGGAUGGGUUUUUUGAUGAUCCGUGUUGUUCUAAGUUGUUGCAUAUAUAUUUCCUUCAUAAAAAUGUACAAUUCAAGAAACAAUUUAUAAAAAAAGAUCUAAUUAUUAAAAAAGUAUGUGGUAUUCCAUACAAUGAUGGGUAUGUGUUGGUGCCGUUACACCACAAUAUGAUGACAAAGAAGUAUGUGAAGAGUAUGGAGAUAAUGUGACAGCUGGAGAACUGUAUAACAAUGAAAUGAUGAUUAAGAGUUGUCCCAGCUCAUCUGAAAAAUGACAUGCAGUUAUUAAGUAUAUUCCAAAGCCAGUUCUACCGAAAAUGCC
rnacentral:misc_RNA from 1 species